rnacentral:rRNA from 1 species
UACGUAGGUUGCAAGCGUUGUCCGGAAUUACUGGGCGUAAAGGGUCUGCAGGCGGCCUGUUAAGUCUCUUGUGAAAUCUCCGGGCUUAACCCGGAGCGGUCGAGGGAUACUGGCAGGCUAGAGGCCGUCAGAGGGAAGCGGAAUUCCCGGUGUAGUGGUGAAAUGCGUAGAUAUCGGGAGGAACACCAGUGGCGAAAGCGGCUUCCUAGGGCGGCCCUGACGCUCAUAGACGAAAGCGUGGGGAGCAAACCGG